AAACAGGAAGCCACUGACGAGAACUCUUAGCUCUCCACAAUUGAUGGCUUCUGGCAGGGGUACCACUCAGUUCUGUCUAAGGGGCAGGCCACUGAGAAUUUGACCAUGCUCUGGAAAGGUGGACUGCUUAACUCACCUCAUGCCAAGGCAUCUUUCAAUAAGAAAGCAUCAAGAUAUGACACUACAAGAAGAAAUAAGAUGACUGCCAGAGUCCUACUAUUUUAUUUCGGUACAAGCCAUGAGAUUUCCUGUCUUGCUCCAUCUUACACAUCUUAGAGUUUUAGAAAUCUGAUGGCGCUCCUACUUGUGAUGCAAAAAAUAAAAUAAAAAAAGGAAAAACA